rnacentral:rRNA from 1 species
UACGUAGGGGGCAAGCGUUGUCCGGAAUCAUUGGGCGUAAAGAGCGUGUAGGCGGCUCGGUAAGUCCGCUCUGAAAGCCCGGGGCUCAACCCCGGGAGGCGGGCGGAUACUGUCGGGCUAGAGUCCGGAAGAGGCGAGUGGAAUUCCUGGUGUAGCGGUGAAAUGCGCAGAUAUCGGGAGGAACACCGGUGGCGAAGGCAGAUCUCUGGGCCGGAACUGACGCUGAGGAGCGAAAGCAUGGGGAGCGAACAGG